rnacentral:rRNA from 1 species
AUUGAACGCUGGCGGCGUGCUUAACACAUGCAAGUCGUGCGGUAACAGGCGUAGCAAUACGUGCUGACGAGCGGCGAACGGGUGCGUAAUACAUGGGAAUCUGCCUUUUAGUGGGGAAUAACCCGGCGAAAGCCGGGCUAAUGCCGCAUAAGAUCUUCGGAUGAAAGCGGGGGAGUCGUAAGACCUCGCGCUGAUAGAUGAGCCCAUGCCGGAUUAGCAGUUGGUGAGGUAACGGCUCACCAAGGCGACGAUCCGUAGCUGGUCUGAGAGGACGGCCAGCCACACUGGGACUGAGACACGGCCCAGACUCCUACGGGAGGCAGCAGUGGGGAAUAUUGGACAAUGGGGAAACCCUGAUCCAGCGACGCCGCGUGUGUGAAGAAGGCCUGCGGGUUGUAAAGCACUUUC